UACGUAGGGUGCUAGCGUUAAUCGGAAUUACUGGGCGUAAAGGGAGCGUAGGCGGAUUUGUAAGUCAGGUGUGAAAUUCUAAAGCUUAACUUUAGAGCUGCACUUGAAACUAUAGAUCUUUGAGGUAUGGAGGGGAAAGCGGAAUUCCACGAGUAGCGGUGAAAUGCGUAGAUAUGUGGAAGAACACCAGUGGCGAAAGCGGCUUUCUAUCUUAAACCUGACGCUGAGGCUACGGAGAGCAAGGGGAGCAAACAGG
rnacentral:rRNA from 1 species